ensembl:lncRNA
AUACAUAUGUCCAUUCCAUUUUGAUGUAUUAUUGAAGCUCAAGCUAUAAUCUCUUUAAUCGGUACAGAUUUCGAAGAUACGACAAACAACAAACUGUUCUCUAAGUGCAGAUGGUUCAUGUCCAUUGAACAUCGUUGCAUCUGAAUACAAGGUAAUUAUCUUACCAUUGGAUAUUAUUUUGGCUAUAAAGUGAAACUAAUCCAAAUGUAUUCUUGACUUAAUUGAAUUACAUUUUCAUAGUGAGCAAUAUUCAGCCGGGGACAUAAGAAAUGUGAAGUUGUGCAUUUUCUAUACAUUUGGGCUACCUGGAGCCAUUCCUUUACUCCACCAAAGACAUUUUGUAAACUGACAUGUUAUAAUAAUGAGUAAUGCACUUCAUUCAGGAAAAUGGCAACUUUUCACAAAAAUGCAAACAAAGAAACUUAAUGACCCUUCUCGAGCUGUUUUGUCAAGAUUCACUGAAACCUUUGAAUACAACACACACAACCCUCAUGUAUUGAACAUUUUUAUUCACUUGAGACAGUUUGACUAAAAUGUGAAUCCCCUUUCAGAGAGCCAAUGUGACCUGUGGACUCAUUGAAACAAAGUGAGUCUAGCCAUAUUAAACACUUUUGAAGGAGUAACAUUUCUACGCAUUGAUACAACUGAUUAAAUCUGUGUUCUUCUCAAUUUUCAUUCCAGUGUUCAAAGCUGCAGAGCAGUUUUACGCUUUGCCCGUCAGGUUCCUAUCUGUGCCGUGUCGAAGGCUUUGACGAAUGUGUUUCAGGCCGAAGAACAAAUCACUUACAGCGGACUAGUGACCCGAGCAGGUGUGUAUAUUAACAACAGGACAACAAAUCCAUACAGUCAGUGUGUCCUGUGAAAAACUUCUCAGUCAUGAUUUCUUUUUAUGUGUCACACAGCAAUUUGUGAAAAUUCAGCAGCCAGCAACGAUCCACUAAACUCCCUGUUCACGUGGUUUAAAGUGAAUCUAACGCCUGCUGAACUUUGUCUGGCAAGCGACAAUUCUCACCUCCUGAACUGUCAAAAUGGAAAAGAUUUGGCCUUGCUGUUGAACGAGAGUUGUGUACACCGGCCGUCUACCACAUCCAGCCCAAGUGUCACCACAUUGCAACCAAACACCACCUUGUCGGUGAAUGUAACCUCACCCCCGCUGAACGCAACAACGGAAGCCAUGAAUACCACCACCGCCGCUAGCGCUAACGUCACAGUGACAAAUUCACUCAACAACACAACUUUAACCCCGCUAAACACAACUGAAGCCCUGAAUACCACCGCAACCACUGUAAGCUCCAACGCCACAUUGACAACAACACUCAACAACACAACUUUAACCCCGCUGAACACAACAACUGAAGCCCUGAAUACCACCGCAACCACUGUAAGCUCCAACGCCACAGCGACAACAACCCUCAACAACACAACUACAACCACCGCAAAUGAGUCUGUUUCUCUUGCCCCAUCAGAGAGCCCAACAACCACCCUAUCAGCUGACAGCCAAGCCAACGCACUACUUGAUCUGACCAGAGACGUGUCCAACCUGAACUCCAGCCAGGUGGAGCAACUGGUGUCUCAGCUGGAGGAUCUUUUGUCGGGCCCGACCGUCAGCCUGGAGCUGGGAAACACCUCCGUCCGCAUUGUCAGCAAUCUGCUGGACGCUUCUCCUGAGGUGCUGGCCACCACCUCCAACAGGAUCAUAGGGAUUGUCGAUACAGUGGGGUUGAAGCUGGUCCUCGACCAACCGGCUGAGACCAUCUUGUCUGAAGCUGUGGCUCUGUCUGUGAAAACAGCAGACGGUACUAACUUCCAGGGAACAGUUUUCUCCAUCUCAGACCCCAGUAAUGUACAGGUAUGUGAGAUGAGUAGCCUUGUGUAUUACACCUGCGUAACAUGUUGA